UACGUAGGGUGCAAGCGUUAAUCGGAAUUACUGGGCGUAAAGCGUGCGCAGGCGGUUAUGCAAGACAGAUGUGAAAUCCCCGGGCUCAACCUGGGAACUGCAUUUGUGACUGCAUGGCUAGGGGUGCGGCAGAGGGGGAUGGAAUUCCGCGUGUAGCAGUGAAAUGCGUAGAUAUGCGGAGGAACACCGAUGGCGAAGGCAAUCCCCUGGGCCUGCACUGACACUCAUGCACGAAAGCGUGGGGAGCAAACAGG
rnacentral:rRNA from 1 species